CCUUUCCCUUUCUUUAGCUAACCGGAAUAACUUCCUGUCCCCGCCUUUCUCCCCUAUUUCCUCGUACAUGCGACCAAACACCGCAUUUUUGGCUUCCGUAACCGCCAUCUUUGCUUCUUUACUCGCAGCCUUGUAGAUCUCCAUGUUCUCUCUCCGUUCUUCCUCGCUUGUACUCCCUUCCAUCUUAGAAAACGCCGCCUUCUUCACCUCCACUUUUCCUUGGACUACAUCGUUCCGCCACCAGUCGCCCUGAUGUAUGCCUGAAUAGCCCUUUGCUACUCCGAGCACAUCCCGUGCUACCUCCCUAACCAAGUUCGCCGUCUCUGAUCACAUAACAUCCGCUUCCCCAGAACUUCUCCAAG
rnacentral:lncRNA from 1 species